UCAGACUGCACGAGAUAAGUUGGGCAGUCAAAAGGGAAAGAGCCCAGACCACCGGCUAAGGUCCCAAAGUGCGUGUUAAGUGGAAAAGGAUGUGGGAAUUCGAAGACAACUAGGAUGUUGGCUCAGAAGCAGCCAUACAUUCAAAGAGUGCGUAACAGCUCACUAGUCGAGAGUUCCUGCGCCGAAAAUGUCCGGGGCUGAAACACGACACCGAAGCCGUGGACUCGCAAUGCGAGUGGUAGAGGAGCAUUCUUAAAACCGACGAAGCUGUACCGGAAGGAGCAGUGGAGGGAUAAGAAGAGAGAAUGCCGGAAUGAGUAGCGAGAGAAAGGUGGGAAUCCUUUCGGCCGAAUAUCUAAGGUUUCCAGAGUAAAGCUGAUCUGCUCUGGGUAAGUCGGGGCCUAAGCACAGGUCGCAAGACGUAAGCGAUGGAUAACAGGUUUAGAUUCCUGUACCACGCAUUAUCAGAACUGUAGGGACGCAUGUGGAAAGCACGAGCCGGGAAUGGAAAGACCGGUACAAGCGGGGUAGGAGUACAAUAGGCAAAUCCGUUGUAUGAUCCGAAGACGUGAUGUGGAGCGAAAUAAAGUAGUGAAGCGUGUGAGCCAUGUGCCGAGAAAAGCUGCUAUUGUGUAAUGCGUGCCCGUACCGUAAACCGACACAGGUGGAUGAGGAGAGAAUCCUAAGGCCGACGGAAGAAGCAUUGUUAAGGAAUUCGGCAAAAUGACCCCGUAACUUCGGGAGAAGGGGUGCCUGCGAGAGCAGGCCGCAGAGAAUAGGCUCAAGCAACUGUUUAGCAAAAACACAGGUCUAUGCGAAACCGAAAGGUGAGGUAUAUGGGCUGACGCCUGCCCGGUGCUGGAAGGUUAAGAGGAGAGGUUAGCGCAAGCGAAGCUUUGAAUUUAAGCCCCAGUAAACGGCGGCCGUAACUAUAACGGUCCUAAGGUAGCGAAAUUCCUUGUCGGGUAAGUUCCGACCCGCACGAAAGGCGUAAUGAUUUGAGCACUGUCUCGACAAUGCAUCCGGUGAAAUUGAAGUACCAGUGAAGAUGCUGGUUACCCGCGCCAGGACGGAAAGACCCCAUGGAGCUUUACUCCAGUUUGAUACUGGGAUUCGGUACUGCAUGUACAGGAUAGGUGGGAGACGAAGAAGGAUGGACGCCAGUCUGUCCGGAGUCGCUGUUGGGAUACCACCCCUGUAGUACUGGGUUUCUAACCAGUUGCCAUGAACUGGCAAUGGGACAAUGUCAGGCGGGGAGUUUGACUGGGGCGGUCGCCUCCGAAAGGGUAUCGGAGGCGCUCAAAGGUUCCCUCAGAAUGGUUGGAAACCAUUUGAAGAGUGCAAAGGCAGAAGGGAGCUUGACUGCGACACCGACGGGUGGAGCAGGUACGAAAGUAGGACUUAGUGAUCCGGUGGUAUAAAGUGGGAUUGCCAUCGCUCAACGGAUAAAAGCUACCCUGGGGAUAACAGGCUUAUCACUCCCAAGAGUUCACAUCGACGGAGUGGUUUGGCACCUCGAUGUCGGCUCAUCGCAUCCUGGGGCUGUAGCAGGUCCCAAGGGUUGGGCUGUUCGCCCAUUAAAGCGGUACGCGAGCUGGGUUCAGAACGUCGUGAGACAGUUCGGUCCCUAUCCGGCGCGGGCGGAGGAUAUUUGAGAGGAGCUGUCCUUAGUACGAGAGGACCGGGAUGGACGGACCACUGGUGUAUCUGUUGUCGACCAACGGCAUGGCAGAGUAGCCAAGUCUGGAAGGGAUAAACGCUGAAGGCAUCUAAGCGUGAAGCCCCCCUCAAGAUGAGAUAUCCCUCCUUCGGGAGUAAGACCCCUUGA
rnacentral:rRNA from 1 species